GUAUUGACUAGGCCGGGAGGGUAGGCCGUUCCUGUCACCUGAAGUGGUCUUUAUGCAGGGGCCGAAGCUCGGUGAGCGACGAUGGAAUUCUGCAACUGCGCAUCGUCCCGACCAUGAACCUUCGUCCCUCUUGAUCUGCGGAAGAAGAGGUUCCUUUCGGAGGAAAGUGGACCAAUCUUCUUUAUCCUGCGAACUCCGUCAGGUCCGGAAGGAAGCAGCGGUAGUGGGAACGUCGGAUGCUUGAGGGGUAGCGGGGGGGAGAAAGGCUUUGCUGUAAGUACAGGAGGAAAUCCCCAUCAUCGAGCGUGUCAUUAU
rnacentral:SRP_RNA from 2 species